GGAGACGUGGCCGAGUGGUCGAAGGCGGGCGCUUGGAGAGCGUCUGGGCCCAAAGCCCCUAGAGUUCGAAUCUCUACGUCUCCGCCA
rnacentral:tRNA from 1 species